AAGUAAGAAACAAAUAUAAUUGUAUUCAGUUUCGACCUGAAAUAAAGGUUAAUCAACCCUUAUUUA
rnacentral:tRNA from 1 species